UCAGUCCGUUGGCGCGGAGUCUGCCUGUUGGCUGAUCUACGAAAGAAUCUGGGUUUUGUCGCCUCAUUCGAGAACUCACCAGUGAAUACCUGCCUGCUCGCUCCGCCGAUUCCACUGCCUCCACUCCACCCUUCGAGCUUCCAGCUCUCUUCCAUUCCCACCUCGCAUUUACCUUCGGAACCGCUGCACACCCUCUCUCAGGAACCUGGCAUCUCACACCCACGCCUCGAAAGACCCGCACCGAAGCUUCAAGAGGAUCAGCGUGUGAAGAUCACUUUAUAAUGAUUUGAAAAAGGUUGCCAUGGCUACAGAAAUUGGAGGAGAGUCCUUAGAUGACACAAUACAACCAGCUGUGCGAUUCCUCAUGUCCCAUGAACUGGAAGUCCAGUUCAACCUUUUUGGCCAACAUUGGAAACAAGCUCUUGGACCUGCGUCUCUUUGAUGUUUUGUAUGGGGACUUAAAAGAAAUUAUCCAUCUACAGAAUCACACAAGCAUACAGCAAAGACUCUCGAAGUGGUUUACUGGAGCCCGAGUGGAAGUGGAAAUAGACUAGAGAGACUGCCAGUUCAAACUCAGGUUGGGGAGGUCUUUCAAGAUGGACAGUUUCAGU